rnacentral:sRNA from 1 species
GUCUCCCAUCCAAGUACUAACCAGGCCCGACCCUGCUUAGCUUCCAAGAUCAGACAAGACUGGGUGCGUUCAGGGUGGUAUGGCUGUAGA